UCUCCGUUGGUGAACCAGCGGAGGGAUCAUUACCGAGUUUACAACUCCCAAACCCAAUGUGAACCAUACCAAACUGUUGCCUCGGCGGGGUCACGCCCCGGGUGCGUCGCAGCCCCGGUACCAGGCGCCCGCCGGAGGGACCAACCAAACUCUUUCUGUAGUCCCCUCGCGGACGUUAUUUUUACAGCUCUGAGCAAAAAUUCAAAAUGAAUCAAAACUUUCAACAACGGAUCUCUUGGUUCUG
rnacentral:misc_RNA from 1 species